UUUCGCAAUGCCCGAAAGGGUGACGAAGCGACGCCGCGUGCGGGAAGAAGGCCUUCGGGUUGUAAACCGCUGUCGGGAGUUAAGAAAUGCAAGGAUAUUAAUAGUGUCUUUGUUUGACUAAGGCUCCGGAGGAAGCCACGGCUAACUCUGUGCCAGCAGCCGCGGUAAUACAGAGGCGGCAAGCGUUGUUCGGAAUUAUUGGGCGUAAAGAGCACGUAGGCGGCUGUGUAAGUCGGUUGUGAAAGCCUUCCGCUCAACGGGAGAACGGCAUCCGAUACUGCAUGGCUUGAGUGCGGGAGGGGAGAGUGGAACUUCUGGUGGAGCGGUGAAAUGCGUAGAUAUCAGAAGGAACGCCGGCGGCGAAAGCGGCUCUCUGGCCCAUAACUGACGCUGAGUGUGCGAAAGCUAGGGGAGCAAACGGGAUUAGAUACCCCGGUAGUCCUAGCCGUAAACGAUGGGCACUAAGUAGAGGGGUUUU
rnacentral:rRNA from 1 species